ACUUCGCUAUCACGGGGACCUGGGGAACAGCAAACAGCUGAAUCCCAGAGCCUCCUGGGACUCCCCCAGGGGAGGGCUGGGGCCCAGGCGCAUGGGGGUGGGAGCAGCUGCCCACCCUGCCUCAGCAGUACUGGGCCUGAAGCAGGGCUCCCCGCGAUGCACCGUGGGCCCCGCCCGAGCAGACCAGGCUGGACCCUGCUUUGCGGACCCAGUUCCAGGCGGAACCCGGACAGACAGAGUCCACUGCUCCUUAGACAGCAGACACGGCAGCAGGAGUCCUGGGCGCACCAGGAUCUACGAUGGAGGAGCUGGAACUCUGGGCACCCGCCAGGCCUGCACAUGCGUGAGAAACCCACGUCCCAGUGGGCACACUCCCCACCCGCAGCUCCAGUGAGGGGUCGAGGGCUGUGGCACAGGUUACACGGCAGCUACUGUACCCUCAUUCUUGAUUCAUUACCCCCAAACCACAAAGGCUGUGCUGUGAUCUUCAUCCAAAGCUUACACAGAAAAACCUCAUGAUUAAUAGAAGACAAGUUCAGAGAUCUCCUCCAACAGAGAGUGAAGUACCAAGAGCCUGUCCUUUUUCUCUUUUGCAAGAACCUGAGACGCACAGAAUAUGAUGGGCACACCUGUAAUCCCUGUGUGGGACCCUAACCGCUGUGUAACCCCUAGUUAGCCAGCACAUAGCAGCACACAUUUGUUUCUACCCAGCUCCAAGAUAAGAUUAAAGCAGAGUGUAUGGAAGCCGGUACAGACAAACAAGAGAGUGACUCAAGGCCUCGUUAGAACAGAACAGCCUGAGGUCUGGAGAUGAAAGGCCAGGUGCACCGUAUAGCUGACUCCUUUAGACAGAUGGCAGAAAACCGGCCCCCUGACCCCUGGCCCACUUGCUGUGCUUGUAAUCCUCUUCCCUUGCCUUUAAAAAACCUCCCAUGCUGGGCCUCUCUGAGCUGCUCAGUUCUGGGAGCGCCAUCUGGCCAGACUAAUAAAGGUCUGUUUACCAACGAGCCUGUGUGUUCCUUCCUGGGUGACUCUCGCUGCUCGUUGAGCUCCCGAAGCCU
rnacentral:lncRNA from 1 species